rnacentral:rRNA from 1 species
GCUGGAAUUGCUGUAAUGGCAGGUCAGCAUACUGCCGUGAAUACGUUCCCGGGCCCUUGUACACACCGCCCGUCACACCAUGAGAGUUGGGAAUACCCGAAGCCUGUGAGCUAACUUAUAGAGGCAGCAGUCGAAGGUAGAAUCAAUGAUUGGGGUGAAGUCGUAACAAGGUAAC